rnacentral:lncRNA from 1 species
GCCAAACCUCAUCCCAUCCCUCAAUCAUAUACCAAGCUUAAAUAUAUGAGCAUUAAGAAGGUAUGAAACUGAAAAAUAGUACCUGAAAUUAUUAGUAGCUCAAACUGAAAAACAGCAAAGGAGAAAUCAAAAAAAACUUUAAACCUCGCAAGAAACCCUAUAAAAGCGAUAAACUAAAACUGAAAGAACGGGUCCAAUAAACCAUCACAGCGAAGGAGCAACAACGUGUGAAAACCUCAUAAAGACUAAGAAUGCAUAACUCGUAAGAGGAAAGUCAAAUUACCUCAUAAAGACUAAGAGGAGCUCGUCGAAUCCGAUGAUAGGGCUUUUGUUGGGGGUGUUGCUGCUGCGACGGUGGUGGCAAUUGCAGAGGAAGUUAGGACAGAGGACCAGAAAAUGGUGAAAGAGAUUGGGCAAUCGUAUAGAAGAAGGAGAUGAGUAAAAAGAGUGAGAAAUGCAGUUGGAAACCAAUUCCUCUUUACAUGUUAGUUAGACAGGAACUGGGAGAGUGAAGCAAGAACGCAAGAGGAACUAAAGGGGCGCCACUGUUCUUAUGAACAACAAGCGACAAUAAAACGCUGUGCUUUUUUCUUCUUAAUAUAAUAAAUAAUGUGUGUAUAUCAAUGUCUUUUCCUAUGCUUUGAUGUCGUUUAAGAGGUUAAUUUAGAGCAAAUAAGAAAUAUAUAACUAAGAAGCUCAAUUGGAAACACAAUCGAAGGUGGUGGUGCUGUAGCUAGCUACCGAGAUGAGGGUAGACAGUUUCUGAGUUGCCGAAU